GAUGAACGCUGGCGGCGUGCCUAAUACAUGCAAGUCGAGCGAACAGACGAGGAGCUUGCUCCUUCGACGUUAGCGGCGGACGGGUGAGUAACACGUAGGUAACCUCCCUAUAAGACUGGGAUAACUUCGGGAAACCGGAGCUAAUACCGGAUAAUAUUUCGCACCGCAUGGUUCGAUAGUGAAAGAUGGCUUUGCUAUCACUUAUAGAUGGACCUGCGCCGUAUUAGCUAGUUGGUAAGGUAACGGCUUACCAAGGCAACGAUACGUAGCCGACCUGAGAGGGUGAUCGGCCACACUGGAACUGAGACACGGUCCAGACUCCUACGGGAGGCAGCAGUAGGGAAUCUUCCGCAAUGGGCGAAAGCCGGACGGAGCAACGCCGCGUGAGUGAUGAAGGUCUUCGGAUCGUAAAACUCUGUUAUUAGGGAAGAACAAACGUGUAAGUAACUGUGCACGUCUUGACGGUACCUAAUCAGAAAGCCACGGCUAACUACGUG
rnacentral:rRNA from 1 species